CGACCCCCCGCCUCACCUCAGCGGCCCGCGGCGCUUCGGGCUCUCAGAGAGAGACAGAGGCCCGGCACGCAGACCCCGGGAGGAGCAAGAGGCCCGUACAUGCUUGGAGGCAAUAGAGUCCUUGGAACAUCAUUUGCUAUAAUAUGAGAUAAAGCAGAGAAAGCACAUUCACUGAAGCAUGGAAAUAUUACCAUGUUGGCAAGCUCAGCAUUUCCCGUUUGACACAUCAAAACCUCCCCAUCAAUGUCGCCCAGCUGAUCGGGUUUGCCGGUGGCCUGUUCC